rnacentral:rRNA from 1 species
AUUGAACGCUGGCGGCAGGCCUAACACAUGCAAGUCGAGCGGAUGAAGGGAGCUUGCUCCUGGCUUCAGCGGCGGACGGGUGAGUAAUGCCUAGGAAUCUGCCUGGUCGUGGGGGAUAACGUCCGGUAACGGGCGCUAAUACCGCAUCCGUCCUGAGGGUGAAAGUGGGGGAUCUUUGGACCUCACGCUAUCAGAUGAGCCUAGGGCGGAUUAGCUAGUUGGUGGGGUAAAGGCCUACCAAGGCGACGAUCCGUAACUGGUCUGAGAGGAUGAUCAGUCACACUGGAACUGAGACACGGUCCAGACUCCUACGGGAGGCAGCAGUGGGGAAUAUUGGACAAUGGGCGAAAGCCUGAUCCAGCCAUGCCGCGUGUGUGAAGAAGGUCUUCGGAUUGUAAAGCACUUUAAGUUGGGAGGAAGGGCAGUAAGUUAAUACCUUGCUGUUUUGACGUUACCAACAGAAUAAGCACCGGCUAACUUCGUG